GAUGAACGCUGGCGGCGUGCCUAAUACAUGCAAGUCGAGCGAACAGACGAGUAGCUUUCUCCUCGGACGUUAGCGGCGGACGGGUGGUGAACACGUGGAUAACCUCCUGAUCAGACUGGGUGAACUACGGGAUACCGGAGUUACUACCGGAUAAUAUAUUGAACCGCUUGGUUGAAUAGUGAGAGACGGUUUUUCUGUCACUUAUAGAUGGAUUCGCGCCGCAUUAGCUAGUUGGUAAGGUAACGGCUUACCAAGGCAACGAUGCGUAGCCGCCCUGAGAGGGGGAUCGGCCGCAACGGAACGGCGAAGAGGCCGAGCAUCCUCCGAGAGGAAGCAGUAGGGAAUCUUAUGCAACGGGCGAAAGCAUGAUGGAGCAACGCCGCGGGAGUGAUGAAGGUCUUCGGAUCGUAAUGCUCUGUUAUUGGGGAAGAAGAAAUGUGGAAGUAACUAUGCACGUCUUGACGGUACCUAAUCAGAAAGCGACGGCUAACUACGUG
rnacentral:rRNA from 1 species